AUGGAGAGUUUGAUCCUGGCUCAGGACGAACGCUGGCGGCGGGCUUAACACAUGCAAGUCGAAGGAGAAGGUGACUGCUUGCAGUCACUGGAGACUGGCGGACGGGUGAGUAACGCGUAGCUAACCUGCCUUUAGCUGGGGGAUAACAUUCCGAAAGGGAUGCUAAUACCGCAUAAUGCAGCGGGGCCGCAUGGCCACAGUUGUUAAAGGUUUCGACCGGCUAGAGAUGGGGCUGCGUACUAUUAGUUAGUUGGUGAGGUAACGGCUCACCAAGGCGAUGAUAGUUAGGGGGUCUGAGAGGAUGAUCCCCCACACUGGGACUGAGACACGGCCCAGACUCCUACG
rnacentral:rRNA from 1 species